GUCCACGCCGUAAACGAUGGAUACUAGCUGUUGGGGGUAACCUCAGUGGCUAAGCGAAAGUGAUAAGUAUCCCACCUGGGGAGUACGUUCGCAAGAAUGAAACUCAAAGGAAUUGACGGGGGCCCGCACAAGCGGUGGAGCAUGUGGUUUAAUUCGAUGAUACGCGAGGAACCUUACCAAGGCUUAAAUGUAGAUUGACAGGUUUGGAAACAGAUCUUUCUUCGGACAAUUUACAAGGUGCUGCAUGGUUGUCGU
rnacentral:rRNA from 1 species